rnacentral:ribozyme from 1 species
AUCAAUUCGAAUCUUUCAUUUUUCAUUUUUCAUUUUGCCUGUCAAUAAGUAAAAAAGAGAAUAUAGGAUACCAUGGGUUCAUGUUUUUCAAGUGCCGAAAAGGAUGUGGCUGCUACAACAAC